UUUGAUUGGGGUACCUCACCAAUAAAAUACUAUUUUAUAUUUUAUAAGCAGUUUGCCACCACACUGCACUUUUACUCUCCAAAGGCAUAUGAGUAUGUGCGUGACAACUUUAACAAAGCUUUACCACACAGUCACACCAUCCACACAGCUGAUCCAGGAUUUACUGUAACAUCUUUUACAGCGCUAAAAGGUCAUGUACAGGCAAACAGAGAGAAGGGAAAAGAAACAAUCUGUGCUCUCAAAUAACAAAGCAGUCUCAAAUCUUUUUGAGGAAUUACAGCUAAAAAAAAUUCUACUUUGCAUACAGUACAUCCUCUGAUAAAUACAGUGAAGUACUUUGGUUGCAUUUCUGUGGUGUUCCUGUAGGUGACCAUGAUGCAGCCAGACUGAAACAGCAGGUUGUGAAGGUGGACGCCAUCAUCUUGUCUUUGCAGCGCUGAUUCUGAAGAGAACGCCUUCACAUAGGACUCAAAGGAAAUCAAUGCCCAAAGAAAACAGCAGUCCAGACUCUGAUUCCAGCUCCGAAGAUGCCCUCAGAUUCAGAUCCAUCAGCAACCACUGACAACAUGGAGGACUCGUCCCCUGAACGUUUCCUGUCCUCUCUCGAUGGAGUUCUUCUCUUUAGUCAUUAACUCUUGAAAACAGCAGCACAAAAUGCCAGACUGUUUGACAAGUGUGUGAUUGAAUAAAUGGAAAUGGAAUCUCA